rnacentral:rRNA from 1 species
UACGUAGGUGGCAAGCGUUGUCCGGAUUUACUGGGCGUAAAGAGCGCGCAGGCGGUUAUUCAAGUCGGAUGUGAAAGCCCCCGGCUUAACUGGGGAGGGUCAUUCGAUACUGUUUAACUUGAAGGCAGGAGAGGGUAGUGGAAUUCCCGGUGUAGUGGUGAAAUGCGUAGAUAUCGGGAGGAACACCAGUGGCGAAGGCGACUACCUGGCCUGUUCUUGACGCUGAGGCGCGAAAGCUGGGGGAGCAAACGGG